rnacentral:snRNA from 1 species
AGCUUUGUGCAGUGGCAGUAUCAUAGCCAGUGAGGUUUAUCUGAGGCACAGUUAUUGUUAAUUUUUAAAAAUCUGUAACUCUCCGGCCCCAAUGGGCAGGUGAGCUGCCCUGAGGAGGA